GUGAAGGCUGGCGGCGUGGAUAAGUCAUGCAAGUCAAGGGGGCCCGCAAGGGCAACCGGCAGACGAGGUAGUAACACGUAGGUACGUCCCCCGAAGUCGGGCAUAGCCAUCCGAAAGGAUGGGUAAUUCCCGAUAGUCCCGCAAGGGUAAAGGUUUUUCGCUUCGGGAGCGGCCUGCGUAGUAUCAGCUAGUUGGUAGGGUAACGGCCUACCAAGGCUACGACGCUUAGGGGAGCUGAGAGGCUGACCCCCACCGAUGGAACUGCGACACGGUCCAUACUCCUACGGGCGGCUGCAGACGAGAAUAUUCCGCAAUGGACGAAAGUCUGACGGAGCGACGCCGCGUGCUGGAUGAAGUGCCUUGGUACGUAAACAGCUUUUAUCGGGGACGAAGUUUAUUGACGGUACCCGAUGAAUAAGGAGCUCCUCACUCUGU
rnacentral:rRNA from 1 species